rnacentral:rRNA from 1 species
GACGAACGCUGGCGGCGUGCCUAAUACAUGCAAGUAGAACGCUGAAGGAGGAGCUUGCUCUUCUGGAUGAGUUGCGAACGGGUGAGUAACGCGUAGGUAACCUGCCUGGUAGCGGGGGAUAACUAUUGGAAACGAUAGCUAAUACCGCAUAAGAGUAGAUGUUGCAUGACAUUUACUUAAAAGGUGCAAUUGCAUCACUACCAGAUGGACCUGCGUUGUAUUAGCUAGUUGGUGGGGUAACGGCUUACCAAGGCGACGAUACAUAGCCGACCUGAGAGGGUGAUCGGACACACUGGGACGGAGACACGGCCCAGACUCCUACGGGAGGCAGCAGUAGGGAAUCUUCGGCAAUGGACGGAAGUCUGACCGAGCAACGCCGCGUGAGUGAAGAAGGGUGUCGGAUCGUAAAGCUCUGUUGUAAGAGAAGAACGAGUGUGAGAGUGGAAAGUUCACACUGUGACGGUAUCUUACCAGAAAGGGACGGCUAACUACGUG